rnacentral:rRNA from 1 species
AGAGUUUGAUCAUGGCUCAGGAUGAACGUUGGCGGCGUGCCUAACACAUGCAAGUCGAACGGAAAUAGCAAUAUUUGAGUGGCGCACGGGUGAGUAACACGUAGCUAAUCUACCUCAAAGCGCGGGAUAACGUGUCGAAAGACAGGCUAAUACCGCAUAAGCUCGCGAUCUGCAGAGGGUUGCGAGAAAAGGCGAAAGUCACUUUGAGAUGAGGCUGCGGCCCAUCAGCUAGUUGGUGAGGUAACGGCUUACCAAGGCAACGACGGGUAGGGGACCUGAGAGGGUGACCCCCCACACUGGGACUGAGACACGGCCCAGACUCCUACGGGAGGCAGCAGUGAGGAAUAUUGCACAAUGGGCGCAAGCCUGAUGCAGCGACGCCGCGUGGGUGAAGAAGGUUUUCGGAUCGUAAAACCCUUUUCUGUGUGACGAGAACGGACGGUAGCACAGGAAUAAGUCUCGGCUAACUACGUGCCAGCAGCCGCGGUAAAACGUAGGAGACAAACGUUAUCCGGAGUUACUGGGCGUAAAGGGCGUGUAGGUGGUUUUGUAAGUCUGGCGUGAAAUAUCUCGGCUUAACCGAGGCAGGUCGUCGGAUACUGCAAGACUGGAGGACGGUAGAGGCGUGUGGAAUUCCGGGUGUAGUGGUGAAAUGCGUAGAGAUCCGGAGGAACACCAGUGGCGAAGGCGACACGCUGGGCCGUACCUGACACUGAACCGCGACAGCAUGGGGAGCAAACAGGAUUAGAUACCCUAGUAGUCC